GUCGUUUGGCCGAGUGGUUAAGGCGUGCGGCUUCCCCGCAGCGAGAGUUUGAAUCUCUCAGGCUACA
rnacentral:tRNA from 1 species